UUUCCUUUAAACAUAAAAAACAACAACAGCAGUCACAAAGACGUAUUUUCGACUUUGCAAUUGUUUUUGCUAGUUUUGGUAAAACAGAUCCUAUUUCAUCGCAAACACAAAAAAAUAAUCGGUAACACAUUAGUAUAGGGACCAGUUCUCACUUGCUUAUUAGCAUGCCUAUUGUUAACAUAUUGGCUGUUUAUUUGUACAUAAAGCAGAUAUUCUGUAUGACCGUAAUUGCAUCCCUAAUCUCACACAAUACAUUUAACAAAUACCUUAUUAACUAUUAAUAAGCAGCAAAUUAAUAGUUUACUGAAGCAUAAUUCGUAGUUAAUGGUUUGUUAAUAGCAAGAAUUGGACCUUAAAAUAAAGUGUGAACAUAUUUAUAAUAAUUUUUUUUUAUUUUUAAUAAUCAUAACAAUAAUAAUAUAAUAUAACAUUAUACUUAUUUUCUUUGUAUUUUAACUACUUUUAGCAAGCUAUUGGCUCUUUGUAAAUGUGUAUUUAGGUCUACUCACUUGAUUUGAAACAAAACGACUGAGUGGUGUCCAAUUUGGUCAGCAAAUUUGACAGCAUCGUUCGGAUCACAGUUUUUAGUUUACAGGCUGGAUUAGGGCUUGAGCUUAUACCUCUAUAGUGUAUUCUUCUCCUGACUCAGGAGUGUUUUUUAUCUAUCUUUCCACUACAUUUAGAGUUUCCACUAAGCUUUAGCUCCCCAAUUAUUCCUAGUUCAACACGCAAGUUGUAGAUAACCUCCCUCUUUAUACCGGGAUUUCAUGACCUAACAUUACUCUGCCCCGUUUCUUCAAAACCACAGGUUAGACAUGCCUUCAGAAGCAGCUUUCCUGACAACCGCUGCUGUCAGAUUUUAAAAUAAUUGGCUAGUGAGGUGACUUUUGUUGUUUUUUCUGCCAGCAGUCCUAAAGCACCGUUAUAAUGUCACGCUUAACAGUUUGUGACUCUUCCAGCGGUACUGAGCUACUGUCCUCAGUAUCAUUGAGAGUUAGUUUAAUCCUCAAUGACUCAUAUUUCCAGCACUUCCGCACCCACCUCACCUGCUUCAUUAAUGUGUCCAGUCAUGUGGGACUUUCUUCCUCCGUUUAAGUGUUUCUGUCAGGCACACCCAGGCCAGGGUGACCCUGCUCGGUUUGAUGCUGUCAAGCGAGGGAAGGGCAGCCGAGCAGAAACCGAGUCCCCUAUUUUCCUGUCUCCUUUUUCUCAUCUUGGCCGCUGAAGGGUUCAGCGCGUUACUCUCUUGAUUGAUGCCCAUCUGGAUGUAUUGAUUGAUAGCUUGAUCAAAUUACGACUUUCCAUUCGGAAGAUGUCAGGACACUGAUCCGUCACGCUGUGACUCCGUCUGUCGCAGCGACUCGGGUCCAAUCAGCGGCCCCCUCCCGACAGCGAUCCAAGCCCUUUUCACACUCCUCGCAAACCCAUUUCCCCUCAGCUUGUCCACCUGAAUGUGAAAUUUAUCAGCGGGCAGUGAGCCUUAUCAGCCCUAAACCAGGACAUCUGUUUUUCUCCGAGCUAAACGAGUGAGAAUGGUUCGGACUGCGAUAAAUUGGGCUUGGUUAUCUGUCGACCUAACCUCUGUCUGCUGAGCCGGGGUUGCCAUUGGUGGCGAGUUCAAGGCCAAGUUAGCGUUUGAGCACAACUAAGUGACCAGACCCCAUUUUACAAUCCAGUGGAGGCACAGUUUGUCUCAAUUAUUAGUCCUAGCUUUAUUGUGAUUCAGUAGAAUUUGUGAUAUAUUUUACCUCAUAAAACUAUAUCAAUAUUGUUACUCCAAGUUCCGCAUUAGUAUUUUUGGGAAACAAAACUAGAGGUAUUUUGUAUUGCUUGGCGGGAAAGUAACCUAUCAUACAGAAAAGCAUUAAAAACUGCUUAAUCUGAAUACUUUUCUUCUCUUUUAGAAGAAAACAAACAUAACCCCAGGUAUUUAUUCAAUACAGUGGCUAAAUUAACGAAAAAUUAAUGAGAGUUUCAAUGAGAUGAUGAAAUGAUGUUGUGGAAGUACUUUUCCUUACUCUUUUAUUUAGCUAUCAUCCAAACUGAGGUAAAACUAUAACUGGUUCCUCGAGUUGGCCGGCUGCUCAGAGUGCUCAGAGAAACCCUAGUGUCUUUGACAAUGAAACUGUAGCAUCCUUCUAUAGUGUCAGACAUUGAUUUGGAAGUGCUCUAUUACUGACCUGCAUAGAUCAAUUUGAGCUACUGAUGAAAUAAUAUGCUUUGGAAUGUCAGUAACACCAAUUCUCACCCAAAACUAGUUGCUUAUUAGCAUGCAUAUUACUAGCAUAUAUGCUGUUUUAGUAUCAUUAGGCACAUAUUAAUAGAUUAUUCUGCAUGACCAUAUUUUGGAUAUUUUAGACCCUUAUUCCUACCCCAUAAACUUAAAAACUACUGUACCUUUCUAACUAUUAAUAAGCAUCGAAUUAGAAGCUUACUGAGGCAAAAGUAGUAGUUAAUAGUUAGCUAACAGUGAGAAUUGGACCCCAAACUAAAGUGUUACCUGCAGACUCAGUAGAAUAUAUAGUGUGUUAUAUUUUUAAAUUGUUUGUAGGUGCAAAUAUUUGUAUUUCCAUGAAAAUGUAUGUGCAAUAUUAUGGUCAACCGGUCAAUCAACCAUCCUCAGACUUUCUGGCAGGUUGUAAAUUACCAACCCAUUCUCACUCCAAAGGCGUCAAAAACCGAAGCAUGGUCAAGCGCCCCUAGCGUCACUUUUAUGACGCCAAAUGUGCCUCUCGGCGUCGAAUAUCGAAGCACUACGACCUUCAUUGCUUUCAGUGGGAAACUUUUGGCGUCAGAAUUCGACACGAGGACAUGAGAUGUUUAUCGCUAUGAAAUCACGUUCAAGAAGUCUCAUUCAGCACACAUCGCGCGAUACUUGCUAUCAGUUCAACAGUUUGGCUGAAAAGACGUAAAGGCAGUCAGCCCAGUGGUGUUUCUGGAGAGGGAUUCCUUCAGAAAUGGAGAAGACAGAAAGCUGCGGAGGCAGAUAUUUGCAGCAUGUUCGAGUGAGCAUGAUGACCACAAGUGUGUGUCAAACUUUUCAUGACCUGAUGACUGUGUUUCCCAAUCCUGAUCCUGGAGAACCCCAGCACUGCACGGUUUUGGCGUCUCUCUUAUCUGCCUUGGAGUCUUCACUGAUGAGCUGAUGAGUUGAAUCAGGUCUAAAAUAUCGAGCUCAACAGCUAUUUUAAGAGCCAACCCUCACAAACCUUCCUAAAACCUAAAAGAGCUAUUACUGAGUCUCAGCGAAUCUUGCCAUGAUCAGCUCUUCCCAGAAGAGAAGGAAGACCAAGGAAAUGAUUUGCUCAGGAUGAGAAAUGAAGACGGCCAUCUUGAGCUCAAACAAACAGAAGUCCUCUGAUGAUCUCAUCAGCCAAAUGAGGGGUUUUGACCAAGUGAUGCUCUUGAAAGGAGUGAAAGAAGAGGAUGUGCUAAAUUCUCUUCAGAGAAAAAGCUUCUCAAAAGGUCUCAAACCAGCUUGAAGAAUGGUCUGGGAUCUUAGGACUGAGAGAUCCUCUGGCUGAGAACAAGCUACACCACAUCAGUGCUGGACAUCAACCACAAACUGUUUCCAGACACGAGAGAAGAAGAUAACGAUGGGGAGAUGAAACCAGUUUAGAUGUGAUGAUGGGAAUCAUUAUUUUCUGGAACAGUAUCACAUGUCUUAUAUGUAUCACAUGAUCUGUAUCACAGUUGACUGGAUGGGACUGUGUGACUUUUAAGGACAUUUCAUCACUCAUCCGUGUGAACUGAUUUAUAUAUGAGGUUAAUGUAUCUUUGAUGAUAAUUAUUUUCAUUGAAUCUUAUUUGUCUUGAUGCUACUUUAUCAACUUUAUAGUCUAUGCUUCAAUAAAAUGAAAAUGGUGAA